ACUUUCAACAACGGAUCUCUUGGUUCUGGCAUCGAUGAAGAACGCAGCGAAAUGCGAUAAGUAAUGUGAAUUGCAGAAUUCAGUGAAUCAUCGAAUCUUUGAACGCACAUUGCGCCCGCCAGCACUCUGGCGGGCAUGCCUGUCCGAGCGUCA
rnacentral:rRNA from 1 species